rnacentral:rRNA from 1 species
UCCAAAUUCCAACAUCCAAACAAAUUCCAAAUGUCAAAUUUAAAAAAUUUGAAAAUUGGAAAUUAGAAUUUGAAUGGAGCUUGUGAUUUGAUUAUUGAAGUUUCCACUGCAGAGCAGUGGUUAAAGCUCCGGCGGAAUAAGAUCGGCCCUACUCCUAUCAGCUAGUUGGUGAGGUAAUGGCUUACCAAGGCUUCGACGGGUAGCUGGUCUGAGAGGAUGGUCAGCCACAAUGGGACUGAGACACGGCCCAUACACCUACGGGAGGCUGCAGGGACGAAUAUUCGUCAAUGGACGAAAGUCUGAACGAGCGACGCCGCGUGUGGGAGGAAGUCCUUCGGG